rnacentral:lncRNA from 1 species
GGGCCGCCCGCGAGUGGCGCCGGGAGGCGGUCGCCCUACGCCGCCCGGUAGGCCAACGGGCUCCCGGCCCACAGGCGGAAUCCGCCCGGGGAUGUCGCGGCGUGGGGGAGGGCCGAGAAUUCCCGAGGAAAGACAAGUAGCCCGGGUCGAGUCUCAGAAAAUGCGAGGCUCCUCAUCAGGUCAAGCUCAAGGAGGCCUCCAAGGGACCGGGGGAGGCCAGGAAGACUACACCAUAGAUGCUCAGUAUUGAAAAGCGAUGACAGGAGGAGUUCCCGUCGUGGCUCAGUGGUUAACAUAUCCGACGAGGAACCAUGAGGUUGCGAGUUCGAUCUCUGGCCUCACUCAGUGGGUUAAGGAUCCGGCGUGGCCGUGAGCUGUGGUGUAGGCUGGUGGCUACAGCUCCGAUUCGACCCCUAACCUGGGACCCUCCAUAUGUCACAGGAGCAACCCUGGUCAUGCAGAACCCGAAGUCCCACAAGGCAGGGAGAGCACGGCACGAGUAUGUGUGGACGAUGGAAAGGUGUGACAACGCACUGUGGAGGGGGGAAUAGUGUUAACCUUGGGAUUCACUCUCAGAGUUUGGAAUAGAGAAAAUACUCUCGCCACCCAAUUCUGCAGCACCACAUCUUCCUUCUGUGGACAAAGAAAUGUUUCCCUCGGCCUUUGCCGAGAGAGCUGCACGUUCACGCCUUCUCUCAUGUUUCCUGUCUCUGCCUUCCACACUUGGGUGUGCCAUUCUUUAUCCUCCCAAGGGAUCCCUUAACACAAAACACACUUGCUUUGCAAUCAAAGUGUACUUUAUUCAAGUUGCUUUUACAGUUUUAUCUGUGUCCCAUUCGGUGUCACGCUACAUGGUUUAAAAAUACCAACACCAGGCACGGGAUGUAAAGAAACAUGGUAGAGACACGAGGAGAGAAAGGCUGAGUUAGGGAUGUUCCAGCAGCCAGGGUCUGGGCAUGCAAGGCCCGGCCAUCCACGUCAUCCUGAAAGAGGGAGCGUGACAGAGGUCCCACGGUCAAAGGUACACACCAACGUGAGGCCACAGAAUCCUUGGAAGGAAACUGGCAUGAGGGCAGAUGGUGGUCAGGACUAAAUCCACAGUCCCCUUCUUCAGUCAGGACUGAUGCGGGUGACAGGCCAGGGGGUGAUCCUGGUGGUGGACACCAGGGUGACUGCCUGACGCCAGUGCAUUAAGUUCUACCUCUGCUUAAAGGGGCUUUCCUGUACAUGUGUUUAUUUUAUCGAAAACUAGUUCAAAAGCAAAUGGAUAGAUAACGAUUAUUUAACACACACAUCUUACAUUCUACCAAAAUCUUACAUACCAAGUAGUAAACAUGUAUCAGAACUGAAUACUAAAUCUAGACAAUAAAGAACUAAGCUUAUACUAAAGUUGGCUCGUAACAGAUGAAGAGUGAGGUCGCUCUUGUUUCCUGGUCAAGAUGGAAACCUUCGGACUCUUCCAGUCCCAGGCUGAGGCUUCAAGGUGUCCCAGCGGAGUCUGCAGCACAAACACAGGGACGCCAUCACCGAGGAGGCGCAGAGACAGACGGAAGGAGGGCUCCCCCGGGUGGACGCGUGGCUCCAUCAGGCUCCGCGGGGGCCGGGACCUCCCCAGGGCUCAGAUCCCCAGGGCACUGCCGUCUGUGCUGCGCUUAGCCGAGGGGGUUUUCUGUGAACAAAGAGGGAACAUCACUGUCCUCCAGGAGCGAGUUCCCUGUGCAUUGGGCUGGGCAGCCUUCAAGGGACUGAUCCCUGCACAGGGAAACGGAUGCCGCGGAAAGGGGAGGAUCUUGGGAGGAGCAGGACGUCUGAUAACCCAAGGGAGAGGGGUAGCCAGCCCCUGCAGCCCACACUCUAUACCACCAACCAUGAGCCCUGCGUGGCGGAAACGGACAGAGGUCUGAAGACCUCCUUUUACCCUGAGAAUCCUUUCUACCUCCCAGCCAUUCUCACUUGCGCUCUUCAUGGGGGGGGGGUGUGGGGGGAGACCUGGAGAAAUCAGCCUUCCUGUAUUCAGACUAUACGACAAAGCUACAGUCACUAACCUCUAUGAUCCAGGCACGAAAGCAGCUAAUACUGAUCAGUCAGAAAGCCCAGAAAUAAACCCAAGCACCAAGGGGCAACGGCUCCAUGACAAAGGAGGCAAGAACAUGCAGUGGAGGAAAGACAGGCUCCUCCAUCAGUGGUGCUGGGAAAACCGGACAGGUACCUGUCAAGGAAUGCAGCUAGAACAUUCACUGACACCAUACACAGAAAUAAACUCGAAACGGCUGGACCACCCGCACGUAAGGCCAGAUACUAGAAACCCCCUAGAGCACAACAGGCAGAAUGCUCUUGGACAUACAUCGCAGCAAGACCUUGUUUGAUACGCCUCCUGGAAUAAUGACAAUAAAAACACAACUAAAUCAGCAGGCACUAAUUAAACUCAAAAGCUUCUGCACAGCAAAGGAGACCCUUUAACAAAAAAGAAAAACCCCGCACAAUGGCAGAAAAUAUUUGCACACGAUGCACCCACCAAUGGCUUUAUCUUCAAGGUAGAGAAACAACACACACAACUCAACAACCACCACAAAAACCCAACGCCUCAAUCCAAAGAGAGCCAGAAGACCUAAAGAGACACUUCUCCAGACGAGGCGUAUGCAUGGCCGAUGGGCCCAUGAAGAGAUGCUCAACCUCGCUCAUCACGAGGGGACUGCACAUCAUCCAAACUGCAGCGAGGGACCACCUCACGCCUGUCAGAAAGGCCGUCAUUAAGAAGUCGACACAUAACAAAUGCUGGAGGGGGUGCGGAGAAAGGCGAACCCUCCCACACUGUUGGUGGCAGUGGAAAUCGGUGCGACCACUCUGGAAAACAGUGUGGGGGUUCCUCAGAAAACUCAAUACACUACUACCCUAUGUGAUCCAGCGAUCCCACUCCUAGGCCUCUCUCCAGACAAAACUUUCACUCAAAAAGACACAUGCUCCUGUAUGUUCGUGGCACAAGUCACAAGAGCCAAGGCAUGGAAGCAACCUAAAUGUCCACCAACAGACGGAUGGGUGAAGACGAUGGGGUACACAAAGACAGUGUCAUGCCGCUCAGCUGGGUACAGGAAAGCAACAAUGCCACUGGCAGCAACAGGGAUGCCACUACAGUUAUCACGGCACGUGACCUAAGUCAGAAAGACAAUGACAAAUACCACAUGACAUCACGUACACGCGGAAGCAAAGAUACGGCACAAAGGGACAUAUCUCCAGAACAGAAACGGACUCACAGAUCUGGAGGACAGACGUGUGGGGAGCCAAGGGGGAGGGGAGAGGAAGUGGGAUGGCCUGGGAGUUUGGGCUUGGCCGAUGCAAACGCUUACAUUUAGGAUGGAUAAGCAAUGAGGCCCUACGCGGUAGCACAGGGAACUGGAUCCGGUCUCUUGGGAGAGAACACAAUG